GACGUAGGGUGCAAGCGUUAAUCGGAAUUACUGGGCGUAAAGCGUGCGCAGGCGGUUUUGUAAGCCAGAUGUGAAAGCCCCGGGCUCAACCUGGGAAUGGCAUUUGGGACUGCAAGGCUUGAGUGCGGCAGAGGAGACUGGAAUUCCUGGUGUAGCAGUGAAAUGCGUAGAUAUCAGGAGGAAUACCGAUGGCGAAGGCAGGUCUCUGGGCUGACACUGACGCUCAUGCACGAAAGCGUGGGGAGCAAACAGG
rnacentral:rRNA from 1 species